UACGUAGGGAGCAAGCGUUGUCCGGAAUCAUUGGGCGUAAAGAGCGUGUAGGCGGUCCUGUAAGUCCGCUGUGAAAGUCAAGGGCUCAACCCUUGAAUGCCGGUGGAUACUGCAGGACUAGAGUCCGGAAGAGGCGAGUGGAAUUCCUGGUGUAGCGGUGAAAUGCGCAGAUAUCAGGAGGAACACCGGUGGCGAAGGCGGGUCUCUGGGCCGAUACUGACGCUGAGGAGCGAAAGCGUGGGGAGCGAACAGG
rnacentral:rRNA from 1 species